UAUUGUGGUGGUUUCUGUAUUUGGCAGAUCUGUAAACUGUAUCAGAGCUGCCUUAAACUACCACAGAGAUCAGAAAGGAGAAGGCUGUGCUGAGAACCUCAAGUUUUCAGUUUUCAGCUUUUUGUUCAGCUCCUACAGAA
rnacentral:snoRNA from 1 species